rnacentral:rRNA from 1 species
GAAGGUUUUCGGAUCGUAAAGCUCUGUUGUUAGGGAAGAACAAGUGCGAGAGUAACUGCUCGCACCUUGACGGUACCUAACCAGAAAGCCACGGCUAACUACGUGCCAGCAGCCGCGGUAAUACGUAGGUGGCAAGCGUUGUCCGGAAUUAUUGGGCGUAAAGGGCUCGCAGGCGGUUUCUUAAGUCUGAUGUGAAAGCCCCCGGCUCAACCGGGGAGGGUCAUUGGAAACUGGGAAACUUGAGUGCAGAAGAGGAGAGUGGAAUUCCACGUGUAGCGGUGAAAUGCGUAGAGAUGUGGAGGAACACCAGUGGCGAAGGCGACUCUCUGGUCUGUAACUGACGCUGAGGAGCGAAAGCGUGGGGAGCGAACAGGAUUAGAUACCCUGGUAGUCCACGCCGUAAACGAUGAGUGCUAAGUGUUAGGGGGUUUCCGCCCCUUAGUGCUGCAGCUAACGCAUUAAGCACUCCGCCUGGGGAGUACGGUCGCAAGACUGAAACUCAAAGGAAUUGACGGGGGCCCGCACAAGCGGUGGAGCAUGUGGUUUAAUUCGAAGCAACGCGAAGAACCUUACCAGGUCUUGACAUCCUCUGACAACCCUAGAGAUAGGGCUUUCCCUUCGGGGACAGAGUGACAGGUGGUGCAUGGUUGUCGUCAGCUCGUGUCGUGAGAUGUUGGGUUAAGUCCCGCAACGAGCGCAACCCUUGAUCUUAGUUGCCAGCAUUCAGUUGGGCACUCUAAGGUGACUGCCGGUGACAAACCGGAGGAAGGUGGGGAUGACGUCAAAUCAUCAUGCCCCUUAUGACCUGGGCUACACACGUGCUACAAUGGACAGAACAAAGGGCUGCAAGACCGCAAGGUUUAGCCAAUCCCAUAAAUCUGUUCUCAGUUCGGAUCGCAGUCUGCAACUCGACUGCGUGAAGCUGGGAUCGCUAGUAAUCGCGGAU